GGACGCGUGGCUCAAUGGAUAGAGCACCGGUCUACGGAACCGGGGGUUGGAGGUUCGAGUCCUCCCGCGUCCGCCA
rnacentral:tRNA from 4 species